rnacentral:rRNA from 1 species
UACGUAGGGUGCAAGCGUUGUCCGGAAUUAUUGGGCGUAAAGAGCUCGUAGGCGGUUUGUCACGUCGGCUGUGAAAACCUGGGGCUCAACUCCGGGCCUGCAGCCGAUACGGGCAGACUAGAGUUCGGCAGGGGAGACUGGAAUUCCUGGUGUAGCGGUGAAAUGCGCAGAUAUCAGGAGGAACACCGGUGGCGAAGGCGGGUCUCUGGGCCGAAACUGACGCUGAGGAGCGAAAGCGUGGGGAGCAAACAGG